rnacentral:rRNA from 1 species
CAAUAGCGUAUAUUAAAGUUGUUGCAGUUAAAAAGCUCGUAGUUGGAUUUCUGGUGGGGCUGUCGGCCUGGCUCCGAAAGGGGUCGUGGUAUCGUUACACGCCUGGCCAUCCUCGGGGGAAGCUUUGCUGGCAUUAAGUUGUCGGCGGAGUGACGCUCGUCGUUUACUGUGAACAAAUUAGAGUGUUCAAAGCAGGCUUAGGCCGUUGAAUACAUUAGCAUGGAAUAAUGAGAUAGGACUUUGGUGGUCUAUUUUGUUGGUUUGCACGCCGAAGUAAUGAUUAAUAGGGGCGGUUGGGGGUAUUCGUAUUCAAUUGUCAGAGGUGAAAUUCUUGGAUUUAUGGAAGACGAACUACUGCGAAAGCAUUUACCAAGGAUGUUUNCAUUAA